ensembl:lncRNA
ACUAGGAAAAUAACUAGACCAGUCCGUGAAAAGGUUACCAACGCUUAGGCAGUUUAGAUUGCCGGUGACUGUCGGCCCAUCAGCAUAGUUGAGGACGGUGGGCUGUCUGAGGUGAUUCGAAUUGCUUCAGGGGACAAUUCUUACGAUUUACCGUUGUAUGACGGCGAGAGAGCACGAAAAAUUCAGCUCCUCGAACAAGCUGCCAGCGUCGCCCUUACUGGUGACAACUGGACGUCAGUCAGAAAUGACAAUUACCUGGGUGUCACAGUUCAUUUUAUUGACAAUGUAUGGAAAUUGAGAUCUUUUGCAUUGGAAGUAAAAAAAAAAAAACAUUCGCGACAUACAGCGGAGGACUGUGCAGAGGAAUUCAUCGACGUCUCAAACAGAUGGGAGAUAAGUGGCAAACUGACCACUUUAGGCACUGAUAGUGCCCGUAUUAUGUUGGCAGCUGCUAGGCUACUUCCAUUUUAACAUCUACCCUGCGCGGCGCACAGUCUGUACCUGGCUGGCACUUUAUAGGCCAAAGAAAAGGCUGAAAGUGGCAUUGAAGAUGUCCUGUACUUUGUUGAAAGGUGUCCCCAUCUCCUCCCAUACCUUGGGCCAGAGGAGCAUGACAACCUGGGUGAGGAGUUUCUGAAUUAUCAGACCAUGCCAACAACCUACCUUCAGGACGAAACUGAGGUGGAAAGCUUCUGGGCUGGAAUGGAAACAUAAGGUGACAGGAGCCAAAGAAUUUGAGUGGCUUGUUGCCUUCGCCAAGCUGGUCCUGGUGUUGCCCCAUUCGAAUGCAGAUGCUGAGAGGGUGUUUUCAGUUGUGGGACUGAACAAAACUAAGACCAGAAAUAGCCUGGCAUUGGAUGGCACCCUGUCUUCAAUAAUGGCCAUAAAGAUGGCCGACCUGGAGCCCUGUUUCAGAUGGGAGCCCCCCUCAGAGGUCAUCAAGGCCUCCAAGAAGGCCACAGGCCAGUACAACCUUGCCCACGGAUCUUAGAAAAUGACUAACCAACUUCUGAUCUGCAUCUGAUACCUCAUUUUUAGUUAUUUUUGUCAUGUGUUGAUCCAUUGUAUUGCUUAAAAGGCUACUGUUUAAGCACUUUAUUUGUUGCACUUUUUUGUUUGAUGGAAUGUGU